UGUUGCUGCAUUAGCCGAGUUGUAUUUUGCUAGAUAGGGGAAGGAGGGUUGUCUGCUGUCUGGUAGGAGGGCUUUGUCUGUGUGCGCCUUUCUCUCUCUCCCUCUGUCGCUCUCCCUGUCUCUCGCACUCUCGCUCGCUCUCGCUCGCUCUCUCUCGCUCGCUCUCCCUUUCCCGUCUCUGUGGUUUGUAAGGUAGGUUGCAGUGUGUGUAUAUACACAACAUCAAGAGCAGGAAAAUGGACUCAUUAGGGAGGCAGGCAGUCAUUACCACUCACACUGUACUUCCAGGGAGACAGCGACUAUGAGGAGACAAACUGAGGACUGGGGAACAAGCAGCAUAAGGAAGAAGUGUUGAGAGCUGCUCUUAACCCUUUUGGAGGCCGAAGUCAAAAGGGAACUAGAGGGCUUGACGCAUCCUUUACAUCCUGCAUUUACUCUGACCACAGUCCCUCCCUGUUCUCACAAGYGGAGCUCAGCCCUGCUUCCCUUCCUGUUGAUUCCCAGUCAGC